AAAUAUUUUCCCAAUGAAAUUUUCUCAAUCCUGCAUCAUAGCACCACCAUGUAUGUUGCUUUAAGGCCACCUGUGUUGUUACCCUAUUUCACUAUCGAACUCCUCGUUCGGCUAGCAACGACUAAGUCCAUCAUUCACUUCAAAAAACUGAGUUAAGGCAUUAAAAGAAACUGGGAUGGUCUUGUACUCAGUCGACUGCAACACCCACUCAAGUUGCCGCAAUCGACUUUCUGCCCCUUUUGUUCCUUUAUUGAAAUGGUUCACUCCGCUUCCAUCACUUUUAUGUGUUUAUCUUGUCAAACCCACUUCUUUUUUGUGCUUAAUGGUUAUAGAAACCAACUCAAGAUGUAAUAUUGAAGUGUGUUCAAAUUUUGGGAGUUUACGUAGGAGUGAGACUAGUAGACAUGACCAUCAACGACACCGGCGGAAGAGUUGGAAAUGCUUCUUAGAGGAGAAUGGAGAUAGGUGAGGGUUUGAUUUUUUAUAAAAGAAAUUUUAAGUCUCUUGUGUGCAUUAUUUGAUGUUCGUAGAUUUAAGGGGAUGGGUUGUAAGAACGAAAAAAUUUAAAGUAAUCCAAAUUAGGAUGUGAAUUUGUGGCUUCCACUAUAACCAAAAAAUGAGUAUCAAUAAUAUUCUUUUUGCACAACCUCAUGAGGAUUCUUUAACUUAAAUAAAUGUCAUAUCUAUGACUAAAAGCUACAUGAAAUAUGCAAGAAAUUAAAUCUGGAUUGAUUUCCUCUUGAUGAAGUCGAUGCUCCUGGGAUUUUCCUCUUUGGUCAAUAUCAUUAAUAAGAAUUAUAUAAUUAUAUAUCUUUUUUUUUUGGUUUUCAGCCCAAAGCUUCUUUCUAGAAAAAAAAAAGUACCUUUCCUGAUCAGCUUGUGUUUGUUUUUUUAUCCUUUUUUUUUCCUUUGGACAUAUGCUUGCUCACUAUUAAAAGAUUUUAUACUGGAUAGAUAUGAAUAUGAUAUUGUUUUUUUAUAGGUAUGAAAAUGUUAUAAUUUUGGGAAAACUCAGGUAUGCUUUGAUUUUUCAGUCAUUGUUUGUUUUGUUAUGGUGACAGUCUGAUAGAGAUUGUUCUUGUGGUAUUAUGAUAUUACCUUUUAGCUGCUAGCAUCUACAUUUCUUUUUAUACUGAGCUGCCUCCAUGAUCUUCACACUAUUUCUAUUCAAACAGUGAAUUAUCCUCCAUUAUUAUCAAGAGCAAUGCUAAUAUCAGACUUUGUGAAUCAAGUAACUGAUAUUUUUACAGUGCAACACUCAAGUUUUUUGAUAUGAGGAAUAAUCUACAUUAGUAAUCUAAUUUAUAUUAUUAGGUUCCUUUAUUUAUCCAUGCAUGAAAACGUAUCUUAGCUAGAGGAAUUACCAAAUUGUUACAUGUUUCAGUGAUUUUGUGAUUUUAAAUACAUGAAACUAGCUCUGAUAUUCUUUUUUUUCUUCUUAUGUUCAAAAGAAUUAGUAUCUUUUUAAGUGUUCCAAGAAUAAGUGUGUCUUAGGAUUAUGAGUGAAUGAAGGUACUUGUCUGUGUAAGACUAGUAUAUUUUGUAGUACUGAGUUGUAGUUAUUCAUUAACAUAUUCAGAAAGCUUACCUGAUGAGUUUUAGUGUGAAUUGGACUUUCCCUUGAUAUUUAGGUUGUUGGUUCUAUAAUCACAUGAAGAAGAGGCGUACAUUGGCAAAAUAUGCGCAAAAUCAGAGAAAUGCACUCGACAAGGUUACUUAGCAAUAGCUGGUAUUCUUCUAUUCAACCAUAUACUUAUUUUAUCUUUUAAGCUUCUUGCCAGUAGAAUUGUAAAAUAUAUGUUAUUGUUGACCUGAAACUGAGAUUUUACUCACAAGUUCUUUUCUCUAAAAUCAAUGCUCCAUCAUAACACCAGUUCAACUUCAUUAGCAUGUUUUAUGUUUUCAUACCACUUAAAAAUUAGAAAUUAAUGUAUGUUUCAUACCACUUGUAAGUUUAUGCAUUUAUGUAUAGCAUUUUUACGUUUUUUCCAUUUUUUCACAGUGUUUCUGUAUUAUUUUUAUUUAAAAGAUUUUCAAAUUUUUUAAGAUUACUAUAGUCAUUUAAUCUCAUUCCUUAGCUCAUCUCCGAAGACAUUCAUAGGGCAAAGUGUAAAGCAUCUUACCUAGAUAUCUGUUAAACCAAAUGAAUUAUUUUCAUGUACAUAGAACAUACAAUUUUCAAGUAUCAUGCAAGAGAGGCCACAAAUGCAUUCAAAAAUUACUUUUUUCUAACAAAAAUAGGGGGUACGUAUACCUUCGAAAUGUCAUCUUCUAUGUUGAUAAUGGUUGUGCAUCUGUGACAUGAUUGUGUUGAACUUGGGAUUCCCUAGUGAGAAGUGUGCUAAGUCGGAUAGUUUGCUAUUACAUAUUCUAUCAAAAGCUCACUAUUAAGUUUUUACUCCUAAAUGACGAGGCCAACUUAAACAGGAAUGUAUAAAGUUACUCGCUCGGGGUAGUAUAACGUACUUUUUGUCUACUACUCACUGAAACUUAUAAGAAAUUAUUCUGACAUAGCAUGAAUAAAUAUGUUGUAUAGGUGUUUCUAUUUGUUCUCUCAUCCAUUGUCUCCUGCUUUGAUAGUGUUACCUUUACUCUGUUAAAUGUUGUGCUUUUGAUUGUUGAAAGUAUAAGUGAAAUUUUUUAAUUUGACUUUUCACUUGCAUACUAUUGAUUUUUAUCUAACUUUUAUUCCAUUUUAUAUGUAUAGAAUAAAUCUGGGGAUUGAUGGCCUAAAGUCAAAUUGAUGUAUUGGAAGAAAAUGAUGAAGAGUUUUGUACAAUUAUGAUAUUUGUGAUACACUAUGAAUAUAUAUAAUUUUGUAAAGUUAAUGGCCAACAUGUGCCUUAAAGUAAUUGAUUUUAUUAUUUGAUGUAGUA
rnacentral:lncRNA from 1 species